rnacentral:rRNA from 1 species
AUUGAACGCUAGCGGGAUGCCUUACACAUGCAAGUCGAACGGCAGCACGGACUUCGGUCUGGUGGCGAGUGGCGAACGGGUGAGUAAUGUAUCGGAACGUGCCCAGUAGCGGGGGAUAACUACGCGAAAGCGUAGCUAAUACCGCAUACGCCCUACGGGGGAAAGCAGGGGAUCGCAAGACCUUGCACUAUUGGAGCGGCCGAUAUCGGAUUAGCUAGUUGGUGGGGUAACGGCUCACCAAGGCGACGAUCCGUAGCUGGUUUGAGAGGACGACCAGCCACACUGGGACUGAGACACGGCCCAGACUCCUACGGGAGGCAGCAGUGGGGAAUUUUGGACAAUGGGGGAAACCCUGAUCCAGCCAUCCCGCGUGUGCGAUGAAGGCCUUCGGGUUGUAAAGCACUUUUGGCAGGAAAGAAACGUCGCGGGUUAAUACCCCGCGAAACUGACGGUACCUGCAGAAUAAGCACCGGCUAACUACGUGCCAGCAGCCGCCGUAAGAC